GAUGAACGCUGACAGAGUGCCUAACACAUGCAAGUCUACUUGAACUUCUCUGUGGGUGGCGCACGGGUGACUUACCCGCAAACAACUUGCCUCCCCGUUAAGGACCACCUUUGUAAACUGAUGCUACUACCUGAUAUUAUGAUUUUAAGGCAACCUAAGAUUAUGAUGCCUGUAUGAUCUGUGAGAGAUCUUUGCGCCCCCUUAACUAGAUGGAUAUGCAACGGCUCACCUAGGCGAUGAUGGAUAGGCCGCCUGAGAGGACGAACCGUCACCAAGCUACUGAGACGCUCCCCUUACUCCUACCGGAGGCACCGCCGGGAAAUAUUGGACAAUGGACCAAAAGUCUGAUCCCGCAAUUCUGUGUGCCCUAUGACAUUUUUCCCACUGGAAAGAGCUUUCAUUUGGGAACAAAAAAAUGACGGGACCAACAAAAGAGAUGACGGCUAAAUACUUGCCAGCAGACACGGUAACACAUCUGUCACACGCGUUAUCCUGAUUUAUUGCGCGUACAGCGCGUCUAAGUGGGUAUGCAAGUCUGAUGUGAAAAUGCACGGCUCAACUCUGUAUUGCGUUGGAAACUGGACAACUUUAGUACGGGAAAAGAAAGCGGAACUUCCUGUGGAGAGGUGAAAUUCCUAAAUAUUUGUAAGAAUGCCCAUGGGGAAACCCGCUUUCUGGACCUAUACUGACCCUUGAGCGCCAAAGCGUGGGUAACAAACAGGAUUGAAUACCCUGGUAAUCCCCCCCCUAAACCAAGAUUACUAAGUGGUGGGGGUCAAACCACAUCGCCGAUGCUAACGCCAUAUUUAAUCCUCCUGGUGAGUACGUCCACCAGUAUGAUACUCCUCGGAAUUGACGGCGACCCCCCCCACCGGCGGAGCAUGUGGUUUAAUUCUACGCAACGCCAGGAACAUUACCACCGUUUGACGUCUUACGAAUGAGACACAGAUGUUUCAGUGUCCCUUCCGGGAAACCUAACAACAAGUGGUGCGUGGCUGGCGUCACCUCGUGUCGUGACAUGUUGGGUUAAGUCCCGCAACGAGCGCAACCCCUUUCGUAUGUUACCAUCAGUAAGAUGGGGACUCAUGCCAUACUGCCUGCGAUGAGCAGGAGGAAGGUGGGGAUGACGUCAAGUCAUCAUGCCCCUUAUGCGUUGGGCUACACACGUGCUACAAUGGGUAGUACAGAGACUCACAAAGCCGCGAGGAGGAGCUAAUCUCCGCAAACUAUUCUUAUUUCCGAUUGUUAUUUGCAACUUGAGUACCAGAAGUCGGAAUUGGUUGUUAUCGGGAAUCCGCAAUGUCGCGGUGAAUACGUUCUCGGGUCU
rnacentral:rRNA from 1 species